rnacentral:rRNA from 1 species
CCCGCUGAACUUAAGCAUAUCAAUAAGCGGAGGAAAAGAAACUAACAAGGAUUCCCCUAGUAACUGCGAGUGAAGCGGGAAAAGCUCAAAUUUAAAAUCUGGCGGUCCUCUGGCCGUCCGAGUUGUAAUCUGGAGAAGCGUUUUCCGCGUCGGACCGUGUACAAGUCUUCUGGAACGGAGCGUCAUAGAGGGUGAGAAUCCCGUCUCUGACACGGACCGCCGACGCUUCAUGUGAUACGCUCUCGAAGAGUCGAGUUGUUUGGGAAUGCAGCUCAAAAUGGGUGGUAAAUUCCAUCUAAAGCUAAAUACUGGCGAGAGACCGAUAGCGAACAAGUACCGUGAGGGAAAGAUGAAAAGCACUUUGGAAAGAGAGUUAAACAGUACGUGAAAUUGUUGAAAGGGAAACGUUUGAAGUCAGUCGCGUCGGCCGAGACUCAACCUUGCUUCUGCUCGGUGCACUUCUCGGUUGACGGGUCAGCAUCAAUUUUGACCGCCGGAUAAAGGUCGGGGGAAUGUGGCAUCCUUCGGGAUGUGUUAUAGACCUCGAUUCGGAUACGGCGAUUGGGAUUGAGGAACUCGGCGCUUUGCGUCCAGGAUGCCGGCAUAAUGGCUUUAAGCGACCCGUCUUGAAACACGG